CAGUGUAGCAGUGACAGGAAGCGAAGUGGGAAAGAGAGAGGGGGGCGGGAUCGGGGAAGGUCCUCGAGCCGGGAUUCAACCUCGGGAUGCCUGCAGCACAACGGCGCUUUAUAUCGGCACGCUGCCCACAAGGCUAUCGGUGGUGACAGCUG